rnacentral:lncRNA from 1 species
AUGAGCACAAGUAUAAAUAGAGUUCUCAAGCAAUACAAGUGUUUCCUUUAUUCACAAUCUUUGUUCCCCUUUGUUCAAGUCAUUGAAUCGAGUUGCAAGUUGGUGUCAAGGCUGAUCUUAGCACGGCUGAUCUUAGCACGGUGACUAAGAGCCGCACGUGGGUUGAAGGACUAACUCCGUGACAAUUGGCUCCAAUCAUCAACCAUCAAAUUCAAUGAUGUCCAGCCAGGAUCAUUGACAAGAACAAGACUGGAAAAACUCAUUGAUUAGGUAAGAUUGAGUUUCAUUAGUUCAACGAUGUUACAAGUUAAAUGAAGCCACUACUAAUAAAGCUCAUCAGUUGUUGCGUAGUGUUCUACUGUUGAGCAUUUGGACAUAUUAUUAUUUCAAAAGAAGGUGUUGCGACUAAUCCUUAAGGUAUCGAAUGGAUACAAUAGUGGCCUAUUCCCUCUUACCUCAUCGAUUAGAGGUUUCUUGGGUUUAGCAAGGGUACUACAGGAUUAUUCAAUCUUUUGGGAUUAUUGCAAAAUUUCUCAAAUAGGAUUUUUUUUUCAUGGAAU